rnacentral:rRNA from 1 species
UACAGAGGUCCCAAGCGUUGUUCGGAUUCACUGGGCGUAAAGGGUGCGUAGGUGGCCGGGUAAGUCUGAUGUGAAAUCUCCGAGCUCAACUCGGAAACUGCAUCGGAUACUCUCCGGCUAGAGGAAUGGAGGGGAGACUGGAAUACUUGGUGUAGCAGUGAAAUGCGUAGAUAUCAAGUGGAACACCAGUGGCGAAGGCGAGUCUCUGGACAUUUCCUGACGCUGAGGCACGAAAGCUAGAGGAGCAAACAGG